GCUGGGUGCUGUGGCACACACCUGUAAUCCCAGCUACUUGGGAGGCUGAGGGAGGAGGAUCACAGUUUGAGGCCAGGCCGGGCAAGUGCGGGAGACUCUAUCUCAC
rnacentral:sRNA from 1 species